AUUGAACGCUGGCGGCAUGCCUUACACAUGCAAGUCGAACGGCAGCACGGGGGCAACCCUGGUGGCGAGUGGCGAACGGGUGAGUAACGCAUCGGAAUGUACCCAGUAGUGGGGGAUAACUAGUCGAAAGACUGGCUAAUACCGCAUACGCACUACGGUGGAAAGCGGGGGAUCGCAAGACCUCGCGCUAUUGGAGCAGCCGAUGUCCGAUUAGGUAGUUGGUGGGGUAAAAGCCUACCAAGCCUGCGAUCGGUAGCUGGUCUGAGAGGACGACCAGGCCACACUGGGACUGAGACACGGCCCAGACUCCUACGGGAGGCAG
rnacentral:rRNA from 1 species